GACGAACGCUGGCGGCGUGCCUAAUACAUGCAAGUCGAGCGAAGUUUUUCUGGUGCUUGCACUAGAAAAACUUAGCGGCGAACGGGUGAGUAACACGUAAAGAACCUGCCUCAUAGACUGGGACAACUAUUGGAAACGAUAGCUAAUACCGGAUAACAGUAUUUCUCGCAUGAGAGAUAUUUAAAAGUUGGUUAUGCUAACACUAUGAGAUGGCUUUGCGGUGCAUUAGCUAGUUGGUGGGGUAAAGGCCUACCAAGGCGACGAUGCAUAGCCGACCUGAGAGGGUGAUCGGCCACACUGGGACUGAGACACGGCCCAGACUCCUACGGGAGGCAGCAGUAGGGAAUCUUCCGCAAUGGGCGAAAGCCUGACGGAGCAACGCUGCGUGAGUGAAGAAGGAUUUCGGUUCGUAAAGCUCUGUUGUUAGGGAAGAAUGGAUAUGUAGUAACUAUACAUGUAAGAGACGGUACCUAACCAGAAAGCCACGGCUAACUACGUGCCAGCAGCCGCGGUAAUACGUAGGUGGCAAGCGUUGUCCGGAAUUAUUGGGCGUAAAGCGCGCGCAGGUGGUUUAAUAAGUCUGAUGUGAAAGCCCACGGCUCAACCGUGGAGGGUCAUUGGAAACUGUUAAACUUGAGUGCAGGAGAGAAAAGUGGAAUUCCUAGUGUAGCGGUGAAAUGCGUAGAGAUUAGGAGGAACACCAGUGACGAAGGCGGCUUUUUGGCCUGUAACUGACACUGAGGCGCGAAAGCGUGGGGAGCAAACAGG
rnacentral:rRNA from 1 species